GAUGCACACCCUGCGCUGGUAGAAGAAGUCCCAAGAUGUCUAUUCCUCGCGCUUGCGGUCGAGUCGGUGCGCACGCUCGCCCCAACAAGUCCGAAGAGCGAACGCCCCCGCUGCCAUCGCCGCCACCGCCGACGCCGUAGGCGAAUCCUGGGAUAGCACGGAUGACCUUCGGCGGGGUUUCGUCUGCGUGAACUGCGGCCGGGAGACGCCCUCUCUCUUCGUUCAGUCUCGCCUGGCAACAUCCGUUCGAUGAAAUGCGUAGACGCCGGGAUUUCUUUCUUUCUUCUUUCUCCCGGGAGCACUGCAAGGCGGUAGCUCACCCCUACAUCGAGUGCGAAUUCAUGGUUGGUGAGUCUGACCUGAAGUUGACAGAAGGGAUAACUUUGUACUCUAUUGUUUCAGAUAAUUAUGCAAAGCCAUCAAUUCUUGGGCCACUGAUAAAAGAACAUGCUAAAGGAGGUAAAUGCAUUGUAUUUACUCAAAUAAAACGUGAUGCGGAUAGGUUGGCUUAUGCUGUGGGUCGGAGGUUUGGAUGUGAGGUUCUUCAUGGAGACAUCUCACAGAGUCAGAGGAAAAGGACACUAGUGGGGUUUCGGGAUGGCUGCUUUAAUAUUUUGAUAGCUACUGAUAUUGCAGCUCGUGGUUUAGAUAUACCUAAUGUUGAUUUGGUGAUACAUUAUGAGUUACCAAACACAUCUGAGUUAUUUGUUCAUAGAUUUGGUCGAACAGGCCAAGCUGGCAAGAAAGGAAUUGCAAUUCUUAUACACUCGUAUGAGCAAAAUCGACUUGUUAGAGGCAUUGAACAAGAUAUUGGUUGCAGGUUUAUUGAGGCAAGUUAUUCCUUUUAUGAUCUCAAACUAUGUGUACUAUUGGACCAACUAACACAAUGUGUUAUUUACUUUGACUUAUUUUAGCUUAUGCAAAAAGGUGGUAUUGGGUGUUUAUUCUUUGUGUUCUUCUGGUCAGAGCUUAGAGGUAUCAUUGUAACUUUGGGCUUCUGUCAAAGAGUGGUUGCAUGCCUUAACAUGCCUACGUAUUUGUUAAUUCCUGCAGAAAUUUGAAUUAUUAUCUUCAUCAUUCUUGAAAGAGCAUGAUUACCAUUCAAGUAAAAAUCGCAUGUUACUCUAAAAAACAAGUCUUUCACAUAUAUUCUACAAAAUGCUUAUGGUCUACUCAUAAUGACUGUGUUUGGUUAGAUUCCAUCAUUAAAUUGAAUGGAUUCAAUUUAUGUAGCUUGAAAGGACCCUUAAGCCACCUCUAUAUGAUUUUUGUUUUUUAGCUCUGUCAUGCAGAUUUUACAUUAUAAUUACUGUGAUGGAUAUUUUGAUCUUUCAAUUGUCAUUUGCAACCUGAGCAGACUCGAUCCAUGUAGGUGCAACACUAGCCACUGUUUGUUGCAUUUUUGGUAAAAAUAGGGGCAUCUUGGGGUUUUUGGUUAUAUAGGAUAUUGUGGUUCGUUUCAGAGCUAUGAUAUUUUAGAUUCUUUGAUGAUUAUAAAAAUAAAAAGGAAAAAACAAUGGAGGUUAGAAUUGGUCAUUCAAAAACAAGAACAGUAAGCAGAUUGUAAUCAGCUGAAUCAAAUGGUAUGAAUUGAAGGAUUUUUGGUUUUAGUUAAAAAAUAGAAAUUGAAGGAAAAACAAAAUUUGGGGAGUAUUACAAGAAAAAGAGAAAAGAAUGACAAUCUCCACAAUAUUCUAAACCAAUGAAAUUACACAGAGUUUUUUUUUGCUAAACAACAUAACAACUGUAGUUUUAUCUCUAAUAUUUAAUUUCAAACUUCAAUAGAAUCAUAAUUUCCCAGAAUACAAAUUCACUAUCUUUACACUAUAACUGUCCUUUGUUCUGUUAUAAAUCAUUAUUUAUUUUAUGUAUCAAAUUCAUUGGAAGAAAAUAAAGGUUUCUAGAAGUUAGAAAGAAUAACUACAAUAUUUCUAAAGAUUAGGAAAGGCAUUGUUUUUAAUGAUUCAAAAGAGUUGAAUAAUAAAAUUUCUCAUAUGUAGGUUAAAAAAAUUUAAAUUACCAUGCUAUUUGAGAAACUCUGCUAUUUUGUUUUGUUUCUUUUACUUCUUUUCAUCUUCUCAAGGAUUUCAACUUCUUAGCUUUCAAUGAUUCCACCUUUUAGCAACACAGUGCCCACCAUUGGAUCAGUCUUACAUCCCUUUCUUCUCGAGGGAUUGAGUGAGCCCCCGUCCCACCUCUUUUUCUCCUGUUACUCACCUCUGUUCCUUUACUUUUUCUCAUUUUGUUCAUCUCUUUCUUGAAGUAUUCUUGCUUACUAUAAUUUAUGCCAAGCAGAUAUGACGAGUAAAAACUUCCGGAAGAGUUUUAUCACGGCCCUCAUUUUUCGUUCAUUUCUGUUUUCCUUUUGUCAGUCCUUUACUACUUGCUGGCUUCUGAAUGACUACCAGCUGAUGUAUGGUCUUCAUUUUUAAGCUUCCGAGGAUUACAGUUGAGGAUGGAGAAGAGGACAUGAUUGGAGGUCGUUUUGAUUCAUAUGGAAGUGGCCGAAUGGGUGGAUCAGGUUUUGCUCCUGGUGGAAAUUAUGGUGGUUCUGGUUAUGGCUGUUCUCGUGGUUUCGGUGGUUCCGGCAGCUUUGGAGUUUCCCCGAGCCGCACAGGUGGUGGUUCACGUAAUUUUGGUUCCUAUGGUGGGCAACCCUCAGGGCCAUCAGGCGGGUUCGGUGGUUCCAGUUUUGGACACUCGGGUGCUUUUGUAGACUCUGUUUCACGUCGUCCUGGCAACUUUGGUGAUUCUGACCCCGGGCAUUUCGGUAGUAGCUUUGGCGAGUCUGACUCGGGACUAUUUGCUGGUUUUGCCAACUCUGGUCCUGGUCGUUCUACCAGGUUCCACAACUCCAGCCUGAGCUGCCCAGGUGACUAUUGUGGAUCUAAUGGAAGCAGCUUUGGUGGAGGUCCUAGAAAGGAAGGAUACUGAUGAAUGUUGGCUGGCCGACAAGAUCGUUUAGGGGUUCAUCUGAGACUAGUAGUCUAGUUUUCUUGUCCACAAGAACUAGUUCAUAUUUAGAUGUUGGUACCAGAGGCAUUGUCUCUUGGGGAGUUAUUGCUAACACUGCACCUCCAGAGGCAAACUAACAUCCACCUCAUGUCAGCCAGGAUCCUUGAACACCUAGAAUCAACUUCAUCAGGUUCAAUCUUGUUUUCCAAUCAUUUUUUCUUUUCCACUUUAACCCGAUAGGUGGCCUUAGAGAGAGAUGCAGCAGUGAGAUGUUGCUGUUGCAUUGGUGUGUUGUUGGAAAUUUAUUUGCCUUUGGCUGGAACAACUGGCCGGCCAGUUCAUUACACCUUACUCCGAAGAACUAUUCAUCUAGACUUCCGCGACAGAUAAAAUAAGGUAAUUAUAAUUUAGAUUUUCGAUUUCAACAUCAAAUUCGUUUGAAAUAUUGCCAGUAUCCGGAGUUCAGAUAUAAUUAAUGUAGUGGAUUUUACAUAUAUACACUUGCAAAGUUUUGAUAUAUCGUGUUUUUCAUUACGACCUUUAUCAUAUGUAGUGAUGUAUGAUGUACAAUAUUUAAUCUAAUCUCAUCGCAAGUUUUGACAAAUAGUUAGGUUACAAAAUAUGAUACGCAUAUAUAUGCAAAUAGUUUUCAAGUUUACAGGAAUAUAUACAAAUAUUAUAUUUAUAUAUAUAUAUAUAUAUAUAUAUAUAUAACGGCGCCCGGAGAGGCCUCACUGUGGGUCCCAUGGUGGGUUGAAAGAAAGAAUACUAAGACAACGAAGGCACUGCUAUAUUUAAAUCAUAUAUUGUAUUAUAUUUCUUUUGGGACGCCGACGGCAACGGCUAGCUCGUUUGCCCGUUGCGCUGGAACGUGCGAUCUGCUCAAGCCUCGAGCGAGUGUAAGCAGAGCGACAGAGAGGGGCCGCUCCACCCUCGCGAUCUCCCACUCCCCAUCUGAGGUUUCUAGCCUUCUCCCCGCUGAUUUCUCCUCUCCGAGCCCUGCUGAUUUCUCCUCUCCGGGCCCUCGUUCUCUUUGCUCGGCUAAAGCGACUAGCGAGGACCAACCAUGAACAUCUUCAAGAAGAAGACCUCCGCCAAAGAUUCUCUUAGGACCAGCAAAAGAGAAAUGACGGUCGCCACAAGAGGUGUGGAAAGGGAGAUAGGUUCCCUGAAGUUAGAGG